UACACCUGUUAUAGACAGGAGGUUUUUUUUGUAGAUGACUGUAUAUAUUGUACUGGAGUAACAGUGGCUAGGGCCACACCCAAUGAAGUUGGCUUGGUGUACGGAGGUCUUGGUGUACGUAGCAGCUUGCUUUAAAGCAAAUAGCUAGCUGCUUGUCCACACACUGUAGAAGACAAGUUGAGAAAGAUGUGGCUUCUUGCUUUAUAAGUUUUGCUACAUGAGAAUUUGCAGCUUUAAGUAGAACCGAUACUUUCCAUCGAUGGCACAGGGGCUUGGGAGACAAACUGAGAUUUCUACGACUACGAGAGUUGAUGCGAGACGGGACAUUCGGACACGUGACCGACAGAUCACCAAGAACAUGGCGUCUCCAGAAGAGAACGCAAUAUGAACAUUAUGGUGAGCGAUAAUGGUGCCGAGAAUGUUGACGAGACUAUUAUGGAACUUGAGAUAAAUAGUUCGAUGAACUUGAAAGUCACAUCUGAAAAGAUGUCAAAGGCUUAGCAGAGCCAUAUGGACUAUUUCGUGUUUGAGUGUGUAUUGUUGAUGCAUGCAUUGUAUAAAGACUUCUUUGAAAGAUGUAAUCAAGGGUGAAGUUAGCGGACAAUACAGGUCUGGAGUUAACCGUUCACGUGACAAGAAGUCAGUUGUUGAUUGUCUUGAGAAGAGAACAUGAUAUUUUUGAAGGUACAAUUUGUAAAGUUGAUAACUAAAUAAACGACAAUAUACUGGUCUGUUUAUUGAUGUUAAGGUAAAGUUUCUCAAGAACGAGAUGUGUAUGAGAUAAUUGAUUAAGCUACAGAUGUGCUAUACAUUUAGACAAUUCAGGUAUGUUUAUAUAGAACAUUAUAGGUGUAGACUUCAUGUAUAACAAAUUAUAGAAAGAUUUGAUACAUGUUACAAAGGUGUUGAUCAUAUAUUUGAUUGACAUGGUUGAUUUUAUUUUGCUGGGACCAAGUGUUUUGGAAAGAUAUUGUAAGAGGAUAUUUAUUUCGGUCGUACCAUUCUCUUUUUGUCGGAGAAUGGUAUUAUUCUUUGCCUUAUAAUAAAGCUUGACUAUAAUUACGAGUAUCGUAAA
rnacentral:lncRNA from 1 species